rnacentral:rRNA from 1 species
UACGUAGGGACCGAGCGUUGUCCGGAAUCAUUGGGCGUAAAGAGCGUGUAGGCGGCUCGAUAAGUCUGCUGUGAAAGUCCAGGGCUCAACCGUGGAAGGCCGGUGGAAACUGUCGGGCUAGAGUCCGGAAGAGGCGAGUGGAAUUCCCGGUGUAGCGGUGAAAUGCGCAGAUAUCGGGAGGAACACCAAUGGCGAAGGCAGCUCGCUGGGACGGUACUGACGCUGAGACGCGAAAGCGUGGGGAGCAAACAGG